UACGGGGGGGGUAAGCGUUGUUCGGAAUUACUGGGCGUAAAGGGCUCGUAGGCGGCCAACUAAGUCGGACGUGAAAUCCCUCAGCUUAACUGGGGAACUGCGUCCGAUACUGGAUGGCUUGGAUUUGGGAGAGGGAUGCGGAAUUCCAGGUGUAGCGGUGAAAUGCGUAGAUAUCAGGAGGAACACCGGUGGCGAAGGCGGCUUGCUGGGCCUUACCUGACGCUGAGGAGCGAAAGCGUGGGGAGCGAACAGG
rnacentral:rRNA from 1 species